CCUACGGGGGGCAGCAGUGGGGAAUUUUGGGCAAUGGCCGAAAGGCUGACCCAGCGACGCCGCGUGCGGGAGGAAGCCCUUCGGGGUGUAAACCGCUGUCAGGGGGGACGAAUGAGAAGGGUGGGAAUACUGCUCUUCUGUGACGGUACCCCCAAAGGAAGCACCGGCUAACUCUGUGCCAGCAGCCGCGGUAAUACAGAGGGUGCAAGCGUUGUUCGGAAUCACUGGGCGUAAAGCGCGCGCAGGCGGACUUGUGCGUCUGGAGUGAAAUUUCGCCGCUCAACGGCGAAGCUGCUCUGGAUACGGCGAGUCUGGGGACCGGUAGAGGCUGGUAGAAUUGCAGGUGUAGCGGUGGAAUGCGUAGAGAUCUGCAAGAAUACCCGUGGCGAAGGCGGCCAGCUGGGCCGGAUCCGACGCUGAGGCGCGAAAGCGUGGGGAGC
rnacentral:rRNA from 1 species